rnacentral:lncRNA from 1 species
CCAUGAAAUCCUAGUUCUCCCUCUUAUAAAUAGGGACCAAUUCUAGACCUUAUUGUGGUGUUAAAAAUUAGAAAAAAAAAUUAGAGGAAAAUAUUUUGAAAAAUCUAAGUCUUCUUCUUCCUCUUCCUCUUCCUCCCUGUUCUCUCUAGUUCUCAAGAGAGUCUGCGAGAUCUGUGAGAGAACAACCUCAGCCAUCAAAGAGGAGUCUUCUAUAAGGGAGCUGGCACCUCGAUCAAGAUACCUACCUCUGAUGGAACUAGUCCUCAUGUGGAUACUUGUAGAGGCUCGGUGCAUGUGCGGCUAAAGGAGCCUGUUAAAAGUCACAAUCAUCGGCUACGGUG